AAGUUGUUGCGGUUAAAAGCUCGUAGUUCGAGCUCAGUUCCGGACUGGCCGGGGAGGUCACCGCCCGGUGCUUCCCCGUCAGGCUCCGAACAGCCUUCGUGAGCGGAGGCCAAGCCGGUUCUGCCGGGGUGCUCUUUACCGAGUGUCCCGCGCGGCCGGCCAGUUCACCUUGAAUAAAUGAGAGUGCUCAAAGCAGGCUACUCUCGAAUACAAUGCCCGAAUGUUACCUGCAUGGAAUGAUGGAAGAUGAUCUCGGUUCCAUUUUAUUGGUGGUGGGAGCCCGAGGUAAUGAUAAACAGGGACUGUCGGGGGCAUCCGUACUACGACGCGAGAGGUGAAAUUCAGUGACCGUCGUAGGACGAACAACAGCGAAAGCAUUUGCCAAGAAUGUCUUCGUUGAUCAAGAACGAAAGUUAGAGGAUCGAAGGCGAUCAGAUACCGCCCUAGUUCUAACCCUAAACGAUGCUGACUAGCAAUUCGCCGUCGUUAUUCCCAUGACGUGGCGAGACGCCCCCGGGAAACCUCAAGUCUUUGAGUUCCGGGGGUAGUAUGGUUGCAAAACUGAAACUUAAAGAAAUUGACGGAAGGGCACCACCAGGAGUGGAGCCUGCGGCUUAAUUUGACUCAACACGGGAAACCUCACCAGGCCCGGACACCAGAAGGAUUGACAGAUUAAGAGCUCUUUCUCGAUUUGGUGGGUGGUGGUGCAUGGCCGUUCUUAGUUGGUGGAGUGAUUUGUCUGGUUAAUUCCGGUAACGAACGAGACUCUGGCCUACUAAAUAGUCGACGGGCGUUUUGGUGCAUGGGCCCCGUUCGACACAGUCUUCUUAGAGGGAUGAGCAGCGAGUAUAGCUGCAGGAGAUUGAGCAAUAACAGGUCUGUGAUGCCCUUAGAUGUCCUGGGCCGCACGCGCGCUACACUGAAUGGGUUAGCGGGUUGUCCUUCUCCGAGAGGAGCGGGAAAUCGCUUGAAAACCAUUCGUGAUAGGGAUUGGGGCUUGCAAUUGUUUCCCAUGAACGAGGAAUUCCCAGUAAGCGCAAGUCAUCAGCUUGCGUUGAUUAAGUCCCUGCCCUUUGUACACACCGCCCGUCGCUACUACCGAUUGAAUGAUUUAGUGAGGCCUUCGGACUGGCGGUCUUGGACUGGGGCGCCGGCGUUCUCCAGCAAUGGGGUGCCGGCGACCCGCCUAGACGGGCCGGAAAGAUGUCCAAACUUGAUCAUUUAGAGGAAGUAAAAGUCGUAACAAGGUUUCCGUAGG
rnacentral:rRNA from 1 species